rnacentral:pre_miRNA from 1 species
AAGAAGUACAGUUUUAGCACUGUUAAUGUUCAACAUUUGACCGUUCGUUUUAUUUGAAAAAGAUUAUGAUUAGUAUUUUUAUUGUUAUUAGAUGAUAAAACAUGAAUAAGACGGAUGGUCAAAGCACUAAACACGAAUAUUUAUGGCUACACUUAUU